rnacentral:tRNA from 1 species
UGCGGGAUGGACGAGCAGUACGUCGUGAGGCUCAUAACCUCAAGGCCCAGGUGCAAUUCCUGGUCCCGCAA